rnacentral:RNase_P_RNA from 2 species
GCGGAUGGCUGGGUGACUGCGGGCGGUAACGUCCGAGGAAAGUCCGGACUCCAUGAAGAAACGGUGCCGGGUAAUGCCCGGCCGGGGCAACCCGAGGGAAAGCGCCACAGAAAACAAACCGCCAGCGGCGGGUCGGCGUCAGUCGAUACCACCGCGGGUCAGGGUGAAACGGUGGGGUAAGAGCCCACCGCGGGACUGGCAACAGAACCGGCACGGCAAGCCCCACCGGGAGCAAUGCCAAAUAGGGACCUUGCGUUUGCCCUUAGGGGCGGCAGGCAUCUUCAGCCCAGAGGUCCGGGUUGGCAGCUAGAGCGCGUCGGCAACGGCGGGCCAAGAUGAAUGGUCAUCCAAGGGGGCAACCCCGGGACAAAAUCCGGCUUACAGGCCAUCCGCACAA